UACGGGGGGGGGCAAGCGUUGUUCGGAAUUACUGGGCGUAAAGGGCUCGUAGGCGGCCAACUAAGUCAGACGUGAAAUCCCUCGGCUUAACCGGGGAACUGCGUCUGAUACUGGAUGGCUAGAGGUUGGGAGAGGGAUGCGGAAUUCCAGGUGUAGCGGUGAAAUGCGUAGAGAUGUGGAGGAACACCGAUGGCGAAGGCAGCCCCCUGGGCUGAGAUUGACGCUCAGGCACGAAAGCGUGGGGAGCAAACAGG
rnacentral:rRNA from 1 species